AUUGAACGAUGGCGGCAGGCUUAACACAUGCAAGUCGAGCGAGCGGCGGACGGGGGAGUAAUGUCUGGGAAACUGCCUGAUGGAGGGGGAUAACUACUGGAAACGGUAGCUAAUACCGCAUACCACCAGAUGUGCCCAGGUGGGUUUAGCUAGGAGGUGGGGUAAUGGCUCACCUAGGACACGAUCCCUAGCUGGUCUGAGGGUAUGACCAGCCACACUGGACCUGAGACACGUUCCAGACUCCGACGGGAGGCUGCCGUGGGGGAUAUUGCGCACUGGGCGCGAGCCUGAUGCCGCCAUGCCGCGUGUGUGAGGAAGGCCUUCGGGUUGUAAAGCACUUUCAGCGAGGAGGCGUUGCUCGCAGAAGCAGCACCGGCUAAUUCCGUGCCCGCAGCCGCGGUAAUAC
rnacentral:rRNA from 1 species